AAUACUUAAAUAGGGGCUAUGAGAAUGCUUUUAAAACUCAAAUGAAAAAAAAUAUUAGAAAUAAAUUUGAUUAACCUCUACUCGAAACUGAGGAAAUGGAAUAAAUAAUCCUAUAACUGGUCUUUUGCUCUUCAGAAUAUGAGUCUUGAUCGUCCUGAUCUAAAAUUGUUAAUAAGAAAGGGGUGAGCAAUAUUAACUCAGUAAGAAU
rnacentral:lncRNA from 1 species